rnacentral:rRNA from 1 species
GCUGGCGGCGUGCCUAACACAUGCAAGUCGAACGCGAAAGUUCCUUCGGGGAUGAGUAGAGUGGCGUCCGGGUGAGUAACACGUGGGUAAUCUGCCUCCGGGUGGGGAAUAACACCUCGAAAGAGGUGCUAAUACCGCAUAAUGCAGCGGCACCUAAUGGUGAUUAGUUGUUAAAGCGGGGGAUCGCAAGACCUCGCGCCUGGAGAGGAGCCUGCGGCCGAUUAGCUAGUUGGUGAGGUAACGGCUCACCAAGGCUUCGAUCGGUAGCUGGUCUGAGAGGACGGCCAGCCACACUGGCACUGAAACACGGGCCAGACUCCUACGGGAGGCAGCAGUGGGAAAUUUUGGGCAAUGGGCGCAAGCCUGACCCAGCAACGCCGCGUGAGGGAGGAAAUCCUUCGGGAUGUAAACCUCGCAAGCAGGGGAAGAGUGCUUUCGACCUAAUACGUUGAAAGAGGGACGGUACCCUGCGUAAGCCACGGCUAACUACGUGCCAGCAGCCGCGGUAAUACGUAGGUGGCAAGCGUUGUUCGGAAUUACUGGGCGUAAAGGGCGCGUAGGCGGCUUGUUAAGUCGGCUGUGAAAGCCCGGGGCUCAACCCCG